rnacentral:rRNA from 1 species
AUGCAUGUCUAAGUAUAAGCACUUGUACUGUGAAACUGCGAAUGGCUCAUUAAAUCAGUUAUCGUUUAUUUGAUUGUACCUUACUACAUGGAUAACCGUGGUAAUUCUAGAGCUAAUACAUGCGAAAAGUCCCGACUUCUGGAAGGGAUGUAUUUAUUAGACUAAAAGCCAAUACGGGUGCUCUUCUGGGCACACGUUCAUGUGGUGAUUCAUGAUAACUUCUCGAAUCGCAUGGCCUUGCGCCGGCGAUGUUUCAUUCAAAUUUCUGCCCUAUCAACUGUCGAUGGUAAGGUAGUGGCUUACCAUGGUUACAACGGGUGACGGAGAAUUAGGGUUCGAUUCCGGAGAGGGAGCCUGAGAAACGGCUACCACAUCCAAGGAAGGCAGCAGGCGCGCAAAUUACCCAAUCCCGACACGGGGAGGUAGUGACAAGAAAUAACAAUCCGUGU